GUUUUUUGAUGCUGUCGAGUGUAGCGUGGGCACACCGCUCUCUCUGUCCCUCUGUUUGUGGUUGAGCCACCGUACAGGAAAGCCCUGUCCAUCGGCGGCUGGCGUGGGGUCGGCUGCUGUUCUGGGAUGGUGUGCUGAGCUGGGCAAACUCAAGUGUCGCUGGUGAUGUUCUUCCACUUUGUGUCCUGUGUGGUUGACUGCUUGCAUGCCGCUUCGAGAGAACCAGAGGAGGAGAUGGUGCCUUCGACUACACUGAUGCAGUGUCACUAGAGAAGGGGGGCAUCACUGUUCUUUUCCCAACCUUUUGUUUUGUUUUGUCCUAUUGUGUGAGUGAUUCAUCCUGUGCAACCUUUUCACUUUGACGUCCGAGACGAAGGGGCUUGUGUAAGUUUCACUCUAACAUACGAGACGAAGGGGCUCGUGUAAGUUUCUACUUAGUAACCGCCAAGACGGAGCUUGUGUAUAUGAUUAGGGUAUGAACACUGAAGUAUUACUGGGAGACGUAUCUUAAAUCUCAGACUCCUUUUGGAACCUAUACUUGCUGUAGGGGGAGACCAAAGACGUGUGUCUAACAGGCUUGUGUGUGUGUGUGGUGGCCAUUACCAAUCUUGCCCUUUUGGCAGUUUGUUUUCUUUUUUUACAAUUUGAUUUACUAACUUGUUUGCCGUGCAAUUUUUGUUAUUUGGUCUACCUCUCGUGCAACUAGCACAUUUGCACAAUUUUGUAUAUUGAGAUGACGUGCCUAAGGAUACUGUAAAAGCUUCAUAUUCUAUUUGUUAUAAUUGACUGAGCCCGUGAGGCAUAUUUUCAGAUACAGAGACUCAUUACGAAAAGAAAGAAAAUAAAAAGAACUCUGAAUUGUAUGACAGUUGUAUCUCUUGUUAUUCACUAACCUGUUGCGGGGAAAGUCAA